GGGCAAAUGAUGAAAAAUCAAAAUAAUCUUAGCGGAUUUCAGUGAGAUUAUUAAUAUUUUCAAUAAUCCAUGAUCUGAUUGUUACACACACUGACGCCC